AUAAGACCACCUUUAAAAGAUUUCUUUUUUCUUCUAUUUUUGAUUGCUUCGUAAAAAAAAUACAUCAUUGUUUUGUGGCUUUUAUAGCCGAAAAGAAAAAAGAAAAUACAAUACUCGUUUCUUUGCCUCUGUGUUUGCGUGUUUGUUUUGCAGGUACAAGGGUCGUACGCCAGCUAUGUACGGAGGUUGACGUGGCGGUACGGAGGCACGCGUGGGAAAGAUGCAACGACAGCAGCUAAAAAGAGUGGCUAGGGUUAGGUUUUUUUUCUAAAAAUGUUAAGAUAAUGGGCCACUUGGGCCGUCUAGGGUUUUUAGUGUUUGGGUUUGUAAAUUGGGCUUUUAGGUUUAAUGCAUAUUGGGCUACAUAUGUGGUAAAUGGACUAGGACAGUUGUUAUUUAUUUUUGUUUGGUUUUUGUCUGGCCCCCGACAAAUUGGGCCUCUUACAUGAUGAAUGGUGAUUAAAUAAUGUAAUGCUGAGGUAUGGUUAUAUGUAUGCCUGGAAUAUGUAUUAUAAGUCAAGAAUGUAUGUGUUAUAUGUCGGUGAAAUAAAAUGUUAGGCUUAAACUGUAGAAGGGCAUGAAGAGUUUGUGUCUGUUCACCGUGGUGGUAUUCAAAAGGGUCAGCCAGGAUUUUAAAUAAGAACCUUGAAUGGAAAGUCCAUGGUCAUGGCACCCUUUGUAAGGGACUAAAGGAUGGUUAUAGCCCAAUUCAUUUUUUCUGCGUGUCCCAGGAUCAUGAUAAGCAAAUCUCACGAAAUGUGAGUCUAGGCAAAUUCAUAUCACAAACACAUCAGGAAAGAAAAUGCCCUCACGGUGAACCCUAAACGAAUGCCUUUGUAGCGUAAUAUGAAAGGAAUGCCCUUGUAGCGCAAUAUGAAAAAGUAUCAUUCGUGACGAACUCUGAAAGAAAUGUCCUUAUGAUACGUCAAAAUAAAGUUCUCAGUGACAUACCAAAAAGAAUGUUCUUAUGGCAGGUUUUAUAAUAAAUCGAUUAGGCGCAUUCAACAUGACCCUUAAGUGAAAUCAAUAAGAUCAGAAAGGUUUCAUGUCUCUAUGGUUAAUACAAUAAAAAAGAGUUACAUAAGGCUAUGACUCGUCUAAAAAUAAAAAUGUAAAAUUUGUAUGUUCGAAAGAGGUAUCUGUCGUCUGUGCACACGUUCUUUUAAAUUGUGAUGAUUUGAUGGCUUAGAAGUAAGUUUGCAAGCGUAAUGUUAUUACUGAUUGUAUUGAUCUCUGAAAAGAAAAUGAAUAAAGAUUUAUGAUUGUUUUGAUUGAACUAAAUGAUGUAUUGAAUACUUCGAUAAGAGGAAGUGAUUUCAGAGUAACGUAUGAUAUCUAAAUAUGGAAACAAAACUUGAGGAAGUAUCAGAGACAAAGUUAAAAGUUUAAAGAUGAUAGGAUCAUCUAUCUAAACUAUCAAUUGCAAUGUGCAAAUAUGACUCAUGUAAAUGAGGUUUUCCUCACUAAAUUCUUAUAAACUUAUCUCUGGGUGUUAUGUUACAAGAGAGAUGAUGUAAGUCUGCGUUAAGAGGGACGAUGUUAGGACUAUGCCAAGAAGUGACAUAUCGGGUUAUUGUGCAUACAGAGCAAGAUUGGCGACGUGUUCCAGGACUGAAUUAUUACUUAGAAGUCCCUACUUAGGGCAUCUUUAUUGUAUUAGAGUUUCAAAUUAAAUAUUGUUGUAUUUUAAUUACCACGUGUUGUAAUUAUAUUUACUUCUUGUCCAUGUUUAUCUAUUCAAAUUAGAAAUUUUGUAAUUAAGUAACAUAAUUGAUUGUAAUUUGUAAAAGUAGAUUGAGUUUUUAUUUGUAUUAACGUGAUAAUACCUAAGAUCCGGAUUCAACCAAUCAAAUCGAGUCGAGGGUGUUACAAUGUUAGUAUAAAUGACUUAAUUUAUUAGUAGUUAAAGUUGAAUAUGUAACUUAAUUAAAUUAAAUAUUUAUGACUUAUCUAUCUAUAAUAUAAAAAAGUAUGAAUUUUAAAAAACUUUUGAUUAGUAGUUAAAGUUGAAUUUUUUCAAGUCAUUAAGUGAUAAAUUUUAACUAAAAAUCAAAGUUUGAUGAAAAUUUUUUUUAAAAAAAAUUCAAAGUUUAUUGGUAAAAUUCAAUCACAUUAAUAAUUGAAUGGCAAAUUUACACAAUUUCAAAAUAUAAUGGCAAAAAUUAAAGAAAACAAAAUAUAGCCUAUUAUAUAUAAGUGCUUUCAUUGAAGAUGUAAAAUCGUUAAAAGAUGAUUUCCAUACCUGUUUGUUCUCCCACACAACAAGGGAGAGGAACGACCAAGCGCAUGUUUUAGUAACGGAGGAUUAAAACGAAGGGAGCAAGCUUACCUGGUAGGGGAAGUGCCGGAGUUCGCGGUGGGAAAAAUGGAGGAGGAUAGAAGAUCGGACGGCCAACGAGGUUAACUAACUCAAGAAAUGGCCAAAAGGGUCCACUCCGAGGAAAGGCGAUAGAUCUUUUGAGAGGAAAAAGGAAACGGAAGGGUGAAAUUUUGGAAGAGUGAGAAGAGGGUCCCCUCUGAUCAACUGGGUUGCAAUCUGGGGACGGUUAAGGUCCUAAGAAAGCCAACGGACCACUUUUAUUUCCACUUUGUUUAAUUUAUUGUUUAUUUGCAAUUCUUUUGUUAUCUUGCUGUUGCUUAGUUCUUUUCAAACUAGGGUUAUAAACUUCAAUUCCUUUAAAGUAUAAUGUCAAAUAAAUUUUUAAUAUAUAUUCCACACUUAUAAAAUUUAAUAAUAAAAAUUUAUCAUUUAACUUUUUGCAAUUUAUCAAACACAAUCUAAAUCUAAAUCAUCAUUUUAUAAUUACAUUUACUAUUUAAUUUUUUUAUUAAAC
rnacentral:lncRNA from 1 species